ACGGAAGGCAGCAGUGGGGAAUAUUGCACAAUGGGGGAAACCCUGAUGCAGCGGCGCCGCGUGAAGGAAGAAGUAUCUCGGUAUGUAAACUUCUAUCAGCAGGGAAGAUAAUGACGGUACCUGACUAAGAAGCCCCGGCUAACUACGUGCCAGCAGCCGCGGUAAUACGUAGGGGGCAAGCGUUAUCCGGAUUUACUGGGUGUAAAGGGAGCGUAGACGGAACGGCAAGUCUGAUGUGAAAGGCUGGGGCUCAACCCCGGGACUGCAUUGGAAACUGUCGGUCUUGAGUGCCGGAGGGGUAAGCGGAAUUCCUAGUGUAGCGGUGAAAUGCGUAGAUAUUAGGAGGAACACCAGUGGCGAAGGCGGCUUACUGGACAGUAACUGACGUUGAGGCUCGAAAGCGUGGGGAGCAAACAGGAUUAGAUACCCUGGUA
rnacentral:rRNA from 1 species